UUCUACAGGCUUAACACAUGCAAGUCGAGGGGCAGCAUGGUCUUAGCUUGCUAAGGCCGAUGGCGACCGGCGCACGGGUGAGUAACACGUAUCCAACCUGCCGUCUACUCUUGGACAGCCUUCUGAAAGGAAGAUUAAUACAAGAUGGCAUCAUGAGUCCGCAUGUUCACAUGAUUAAAGGUAUUCCGGUAGACGAUGGGGAUGCGUUCCAUUAGAUAGUAGGCGGGGUAACGGCCCACCUAGUCUUCGAUGGAUAGGGGUUCUGAGAGGAAGGUCCCCCACAUUGGAACUGAGACACGGUCCAAACUCCUACGGGAGGCAGCAGUGAGGAAUAUUGGUCAAUGGGCGAGAGCCUGAACCAGCCAAGUAGCGUGAAGGAUGACUGCCCUAUGGGUUGUAAACUUCUUUUAUAAAGGAAUAAAGUCGGGUAUGGAUACCCGUUUGCAUGUACUUUAUGAAUAAGGAUCGGCUAACUCCGUGCCAGCAGCCGCGGUAAUACGGAGGAUCCGAGCGUUAUCCGGAUUUAUUGGGUUUAAAGGGAGCGUAGAUGGAUGUUUAAGUCAGUUGUGAAAGUUUGCGGCUCAACCGUAAAAUUGCAGUUGAUACUGGAUAUCUUGAGUGCAGUUGAGGUAGGCGGAAUUCGUGGUGUAGCGGUGAAAUGCUUAGAUAUCACGAAGAACUCCGAUUGCGAAGGCAGCCUGCUAAGCUGCAACUGACAUUGAGGCUCGAAAGUGUGGGUAUCAAACAGGAUUAGAUACCCUGGUAGUCCACACGGUAAACGAUGAAUACUCGCUGUUUGCGAUAUACAGCAAGCGGCCAAGCGAAAGCGUUAAGUAUUCCACCUGGGGAGUACGCCGGCAACGGUGAAACUCAAAGGAAUUGACGGGGGCCCGCACAAGCGGAGGAACAUGUGGUUUAAUUCGAUGAUACGCGAGGAACCUUACCCGGGCUUAAAUUGCAGAUGAAUUACGGUGAAAGCCGUAAGCCGCAAGGCAUCUGUGAAGGUGCUGCAUGGUUGUCGUCAGCUCGUGCCGUGAGGUGUCGGCUUAAGUGCCAUAACGAGCGUAACCCUUGUUGUCAGUUACUAACAGGUUCCGCUGAGGACUCUGACAAGACUGCCAUCGUAAGAUGUGAGGAAGGUGGGGAUGACGUCAAAUCAGCACGGCCCUUACGUCCGGGGCUACACACGUGUUACAAUGGGGGGUACAGAGGGCCGCUACCACGCGAGUGGAUGCCAAUCCCCAAAACCUCUCUCAGUUCGGACUGGAGUCUGCAACCCGACUCCACGAAGCUGGAUUCGCUAGUAAUCGCGCAUCAGCCACGGCGCGGUGAAUACGUUCCCGGGCCUUGUACACACCGCCCGUCAAGCCAUGGGAGCCGGGGGUACCUGAAGUGCGUAACCGCGAGGAGCGCCCUAGGGUAAAACUGGUGACUGGGGCUAA
rnacentral:rRNA from 1 species